rnacentral:rRNA from 1 species
AUGAACGCUGGCGGCGUGCCUAAUACAUGCCAGUCGAGCGAACAGACGAGGAGCUUGCUCCUCUGACGUUAGCGGCGGACGGGUGAGUAACACGUGGAUAACCUACCUAUAAGACUGGGAUAACUUCGGGAAACCGGAGCUAAUACCGGAUAAUAUAUUGAACCGCAUGGUUCAAUAGUGAAAGACGGUUUUGCUGUCACUUAUAGAUGGAUCCGCGCCGCAUUAGCUAGUUGGUAAGGUAACGGCUUACCAAGGCAACGAUGCGUAGCCGACCUGAGCGGGUGAUCGGCCACACUGGAACUGGGACACGGUCCAGGCUCCUACGGGAGGCAGCAGUAGGGUAUCUUCCGCAAUGGGCGAAAGCUUGACGGAGCAACGCCGCGUGAGUGAUGAAGGUCUUCGGAUCGUAAAACUCUGUUAUUAGGGAAGAACAAAUGUGUAAGUAACUAUGCACGUCUUGACGGUACCUAAUCAGAAAGCCACGGCUAACUACGUG